rnacentral:rRNA from 1 species
AUGUACAUGCCUACAACAUAGCGUUAAUGCAUCGGAUCCCAUUAGAACUUCGUAGUUAAGCAUGCUUAGGCUAGAGUAGUAUUGGGAUGGGUGACCGCACAUGAAGUAUUAGUAUUUUACAUC